rnacentral:RNase_P_RNA from 1 species
UCAGUCCGCUGUGCGGUCGCGCGCAUAGCGUGAGGAAAGUCCGGGCAUCAAAGAGCAAGACAACUGCUAACGGCAGCCGAGGGCGACCUUAGGGCAAGUGCAACAGAGAUAUACCGCCGCGUUCUUCGCGGUAAGGAUGGAAAGGCGAGGUAAGAGCUCACCGGCGAACGCGAGAGCGUUCGACCCUGUAAACCCUGUUUGAUGCAACUCCGAUUGGAACGCGGAACAAGGCGGUUGCUCGCCGCCCCGUGUUUAAGGAGGCUGGAGCGUGUCGGCGACGGCACGCCAAGAUAGAUGACCGCGCAAGACAGAACCCGGCUUAUAGGCGGACUGAUCGC